rnacentral:rRNA from 1 species
ACCUACGGGGGGCAGCAGUGGGGAAUCUUGCACAAUGGGGGAAACCCUGAUGCAGCGACGCCGCGUGAGCGAUGAAGCCCUUCGGGGUGUAAAGCUCUUUCGGCAGGAACGAUUAUGACGGUACCUGCAGAAGAAGCUGCGGCUAACUACGUGCCAGCAGCCGCGGUAAUACGUAGGCAGCAAGCGUUGUUCGGAGUUACUGGGCGUAAAGAGUGUGUAGGCGGUUUGCCAAGUUCGGUGUGAAAUCUCCCGGCUUAACUGGGAGGGUGCGCCGAAAACUGGCAGGCUUGAGUGCGGGGGAGGAGAGCGGAAUUCCUGGUGUAGCGGUGAAAUGCGUAGAGAUCAGGAGGAACACCUGCGGUGUAGACGGCUCUCUGGACCGCAACUGACGCUGAGACACGAAAGCGUGGGUAGCAAACAGGAUUAGAUACCCUGGUAGUC